UACGAAGGGGGCUAGCGUUGUUCGGAAUGACUGGGCGUAAAGGGUGUGUAGGCGGUUAUACACGUCAGAUGUGAAAUCCCCGGGCUUAACCUGGGAAUGGCAUUUGAUACGGUAUAGCUAGAGAUUGGUAGAGGGUAGAGGAAUUGCGAGUGUAGAGGUGAAAUUCGUAGAGAUUCGCAGGAACACCCGUGGCGAAGGCGGCUCUCUGGGACGGUACUGACGCUGAGACGCGAAAGCGUGGGGAGCGAACAGG
rnacentral:rRNA from 1 species